rnacentral:rRNA from 1 species
UACAGAGGGGGCAAGCGUUAUUCGGAAUUAUUGGGCGUAAAGGGCGCGUAGGCGGCUUUGCAAGUGACGGGUGAAAUCCCUCGGCUUAACCGAGGAACUGCCUGUCAGACUGCGUGGCUUGAGACCGGGAGAGGUGAGUGGAAUUCCCAGUGUAGCGGUGAAAUGCGUAGAUAUUGGGAGGAACACCAGUGGCGAAGGCGGCUCACUGGACCGGUACUGACGCUGAUGCGCGAAAGCGUGGGGAGCAAACAGG